rnacentral:tRNA from 1 species
UAGAUCAUGACAUAUUGGUGUAGUGAAUCAUGUCUGUCUCACACACAGGAGGUCCCCAGAUCGAAACUGGGUGAUUUCA